UACGUAGGGGGCGAGCGUUGUCCGGAAUUAUUGGGCGUAAAGGGCUCGUAGGCGGUUUGUCGCGUCGGGUGUGAAAUCCACUGGCUUAACUGGUGGCUUGCUUUCGAUACGGGCAGACUGGAGGUAUGCAGGGGAGAACGGAAUUCCUGGUGUAGCGGUGAAAUGCGCAGAUAUCAGGAGGAACACCUGCGGUGUAGACGGCUUUCUGGACCAUUGUUGACGCUGAGACACGAAAGCGUGGGUAGCAAACAGG
rnacentral:rRNA from 1 species